UACGUAGGGGGCAAGCGUUAUCCGGAAUCACUGGGCGUAAAGGGUGCGUAGGUGGCUUAUCAAGCCAGGGGUGAAAGGCAUUGGCUCAACCAAUGUAAGCCUUUGGAACUGAUAGGCUUGAGUGCAGGAGAGGUAAGUGGAAUUCCUAGUGUAGAGGUGAAAUUCGUAGAUAUUAGGAGGAACACCAGUGGCGAAGGCGACUUACUGGACUGUAACUGACACUGAGGCAC
rnacentral:rRNA from 1 species